rnacentral:rRNA from 2 species
CUGGUUGAUCCUGCCAGUAGUCAUAUGCUUGUCUCAAAGAUUAAGCCAUGCAUGUCUAAGUAUGAACAUUUUUCACUGUGAAACUGCGAAUGGCUCAUUAAAUCAGUUAUAGUUUAUUUGACGGUUUUUCCCACUUGGGUACCUGUGGUAAUUCUAGAGCUAAUACAUGCUUCAAGUCCCGACUUCUGGAAGGGAUGUAUUUAUUAGAUACAAAACCGAAACGGCCUUCUGGUCGGUCACUCGGUGAGUCAUGAUAACUGCGCGAAUCGCAUGGCCUUGCGCCGGCGAUGGUUCAUUCAAGUUUCUGCCCUAUCAACUUUCGAUGGUAGGGUAUUGGCCUACCAUGGUUGCAACGGGUAACGGAGAAUUAGGGUUCGAUUCCGGAGAGGGAGCCUGAGAAACGGCUACCACAUCCAAGGAAGGCAGCAGGCGCGCAAAUUACCCAAUCCCGACACGGGGAGGUAGUGACAAUAAAUACUGAUACCGGGCUCUUUGAGUCCGGCAAUCGGAAUGAGAUCUCCUUAAAUCCUCUAUCGAUGAACAANUGGAGGGCAAGUCUG